GAAGAGGUGGCUCAGAGGUUAAGAGUGCUGGCUUCUCUUCCAGAAGACCUGGGUUUGUUUCCCAGCAUUUACA
rnacentral:tRNA from 1 species